AUAUAAAAGGAAGUAUCUGAUAAAAUCUUUAAGGAUAUGCUUGUAUAAUGCUGAGACGUUCUUAGAGUCAUUAUUCAAAAAUAUCUACUUAAUUGCGUAUAUUAAAGUUAGCAGAUGAAACAUCGAAUCAUGUAUUUAAAAUGCUAAUUGAUUUACAGCUCUAUUUUCCAGAAUUUUUUUCUAAAAAGGAAAAUAGUAAAUCAUUAGUUUAUCUAAUUAGCUAAAUUGUUGACGUUCAUGUCAAUGGGUAGGCAACAUAGCUUAAGUUGAUCAAGAGCAAAUGUUUUUGAGCAAGGUAAUAUCAUUGCUUUAUUAGAAGCUUAAAAAUGGUUUAGCGUAACAA